UCCGGGUGUGCUGACCCCUGCG
rnacentral:miRNA from 1 species